GCCGAACCGUGCGAGCGUUGUUCGGAAUCACUGGGCUUAAAGGGUGCGUAGGCGGGUUGUCCAGUCUGGGGUGAAAUCCCACGGCUCAACCGUGGAAUUGCCUCAGAUACUGACGACCUCGAGGGAGGUAGGGGCGAGCGGAACUGUGGGUGGAGCGGUGAAAUGCGUUGAUAUCCACAGGAACUCCGGUGGCGAAGGCGGCUCGCUGGACCUCUUCUGACGCUGAGGCACGAAAGCUAGGGGAGGAAACGGG
rnacentral:rRNA from 1 species